CUACGGAGGGUGCAAGCGUUAUUCGGAAUCACUGGGCGUAAAGGGUGCGUAGGCGGUCUGAUAAGUCUGAUGUGAAAUCCUAUGGCUCAACCAUAGUACUGCAUUGGAAACUGUCAGACUAGAAUACUGAAGGGGCAGAUGGAAUUAGUGGUGUAGGGGUAAAAUCCGUAGAUAUCACUAGGAAUACCGAAAGCGAAAGCGAUCUGCUGGGAAGUUAUUGACGCUGAGGCACGAAAGCGUGGGGAGCAAACGGGAUUAGAAACCCUAGUAGUCC
rnacentral:rRNA from 1 species